GAUGAACGCUAGCGGCAGGCUUAAUACAUGCAAGUCGAGGGGCAGCGCAGGGUAGCAAUACCUGGGCGGCGACCGGCAAACGGGUGCGGAACACGUACAGAACCUUCCUUCGAGCGGGGGAUAGCCCAGAGAAAUUUGGAUUAAUACCUCAUAGUAUAAUGGUGUGGCAUCACAUUAUUAUUAAAGCUUUAUCACUUGAAGAUGGCUGUGCGUAUGAUUAGGUAGUUGGCGGGGUAACGGCCCACCAAGCCUACGAUCAUUAACUGGUGUGAGAGCACGACCAGUCACACGGGCACUGAGACACGGGCCCGACUCCUACGGGAGGCAGCAGUAAGGAAUAUUGGUCAAUGGACGCAAGUCUGAACCAGCCAUGCCGCGUGGAGGAUGAAGGUCCUCUGGAUUGUAAACUUCUUUUAUCUGGGACGAAAAAAGGCUUUUCUAAGUCGUCUGACGGUACCAGAUGAAUAAGCACCGGCUAACUCCGUGCCAGCAGCCGCCGUAAGAC
rnacentral:rRNA from 1 species